rnacentral:rRNA from 1 species
AUUGAACGCUGGCGGCAGGCCUAACACAUGCCAGUCGAGCGGAUGAAGGGAGCUUGCUCCUGGAUUCAGCGGCGGACGGGUGGGUAAUGCCUAGGAAUCUGCCUGGUAGUGGGGGAUAACGUCCGGAAACGGGCGCUAAUACCGCAUACGUCCUGAGGGAGAAAGUGGGGGAUCUUCGGACCUCACGCUAUCAGAUGAGCCUAGGUCGGAUUAGCUAGUUGGUAGGGUAAAGGCCUACCAAGGCGACGAUCCGUAACUGGUCUGAGAGGAUGAUCAGUCACACUGGAACUGAGACACGGUCCAGACUCCUACGGGAGGCAGCAGUAGGGAAUAUUGGGCAAUGGGCGAAAGCCUGACCGAGCCAUGCCGCGUGUGUGAAGAAGGUCUUCGGAUCGUAAAGCACUGUUAUUAGGGAAGAAGAGAAGUAAGUGAAUACCUGGCUGUCUUGACGGUACCAACAGAAAAAGCACCGGCUAACUACGUG